rnacentral:rRNA from 1 species
GACGAACGCUGGCGGCGUGCUUAACACAUGCAAGUCGAACGGAAAGGCCCUGCUUUUGUGGGGUGCUCGAGUGGCGAACGGGUGAGGAACACGAGAGUAACCUGCCCUUGACUUUGGGAUAACUUCAGGAAACUAGGGCUAAUAUCGGAUAGGAUCUCCUGCUGCAUGGUGGGGGUUGGAAAUUUUCGGCGGGUGGGGAUGGACUAGCGGGUGAUCAGCUUGUUGGUGGGGUAGUGGCUUACCAAGGCUUUGACGGGUAGCCGGCCUGAGAGGGUGACCGGCCACAUUGGGACUGAGGUACGGCCCAGCGUCCUACGGGAGGCAGCAGUGGGGAAUAUUGCACAAUGGGCGGAAGCCUGAUGCAGCAACGCCGCGUGCGGGAUGACGGCCUGCGGGUUGUAAACCGCUUUCGCCUGUGACGAAGCGUGAGUGACGGUAAUGGGUAAAGAAGCACCGGCUAACUACGUG